GUGGUAGUGCUGUUGACAUCAGACGUCACGUGACCUUGCGCGGCCAGGGCCCUGAGACCAAACGAGGGCGCUUUGUUUUUUCUCUCAUGUCGACGCCAUUUUGCUCGUCUGUUCUGGAACCAGACCUGAUAAUAGGACUUCAUCGAUGACGCAACACAUCAUUUGACUAUCCUGUUUCACCCCCUCGACACUUUUAUGACAUCUUCCAGGUUUGGUUGUCUGGCGAUAUAGAUACUUAGUUUAGUGAACAUCUCGUCAUUAUAACCCCCCCCCUCUUUUCAUCUAUGCACAUAUGUAUACAUACGUUAAUCGCAAUAAGUUUGGUUGUCAUAUAAUGUCUCUGAAUAUGAAUAGAUUUUGAUGGCGUUAAACAAUUUUUGCCUUUAGUGACGUCAUCUAUAACGUCCUAUAUCACGUGGAUAUGAUUAUUUUGCUUUUAUUUACCAUAUUUUAGCUACUAUAUUUCUCUUUAACCACUUUUUCGUAAAAAAAUAUAAUUUUCGAUAACCAUUCGUGAAUUGACCAAAAUUUAGUGCUAGUUGACAAUAGGCUGUACCCAAUUAGAUAAAAUUGGGGUUUCUAUAAGAGAGCGGAAAUCAUGCUCUCCAUAUUUGGUUUUAACAUAAUCUCAGAGAUUUCCCAACCUGUAAGGGAAUACGCAAACACGUGAAAGUGUCUAAUCAUAACGAAUGACACGUUCAAUAGCGUGAAAGCUUAAUUCCCUGGCCCAUUUUCAUUUGAACAAAUGAAUCAUUGGAAACGAUAGGAUCGAGCUUUCGAGUAGAGUCCACCCGGCGUGUUAGCAUAUUACCUGGUACGGUCGGUGUCAUAUCUGCAAUUGGACUUCCAUUUGUUUUCCUGCCCGUUUCCACUGCUGCGAACCCAGGAAAAGACUCGUACUCUCGCAGAGGAAAACCCCAGAAAGUCUUGUAGGAAGAGCGAUGCGAAUGGUCUUUCUUCUUCUUUUCCAUCGCCCUUCUCUGGAUGAUCCACUCUUGUCCGUUGUUGUCAUGAUUUUGCGGAUGAUGAUAAAAUUCUAUGCUGCUAUUCCACGCUGGCUUUUCACCUAUCGCCUGUGAACUAUUUGAAUUGUGCUGUCCUUUGUUGGGAAAUAAUUUAAUACAUAGCCCUAUUCCCCCUGUUAUUUUGUUUGCAUUAUCAAGGGACUUAAUCACUCUGCGGCAAAUGAUGUGUGGAUGGUAUGAAUUGCUCUACUUUCUUUAAUGAUGUUCAAUUUGGCCUGUUUGUGUCUUUCGCUUUUUAACACGAAAGCAGCUAGAUUUGUUUAAUUGCUCAUAAUGUAAACAAAGGUUGUGUCGCAAUGCUGUCACUUGGGAAAUAUAUUUUGCGUUGUAAGAUGUGAAAAUCGGAUUACAUGUCCAUGGUCAAGGU